AUUGAACGCUGGCGGCAGGCCUAACACAUGCAAGUCGAGCGGAUGAAGGGAGCUUGCUCCUGGAUUCAGCGGCGGACGGGUGAGUAAUGCCUAGGAAUCUGCCUGGCAGUGGGGGAUAACGUCCGGAAACGGGCGCUAAUACCGCAUACGUCCUGAGGGAGAAAGUGGGGGAUGUUCGGACCUCACGCUAUCAGAUGAGCCUAGGUCGGAUUAGCUAGUUGGUGGGGUAAAGGCCUACCAAGGCGACGAUCCGCAACUGGUCUGAGAGGAUGAUCACUCACACUAGAACUGGGACACGGUCCAGACUCCUACGGGAGGCAGCAGUGGGGAAUAUUGGACAAUGGGCGAAAGCCUGAUCCAGCCAUGCCGCGUGUGUGAAGAAGGUCUUCGGAUUGUAAAGCACUUUAAGUUGGGAGGAAGGGCAGUAAGUUGAUACCUUGCUGUUUUGACGGUACCAACAGAAUAAGCACCGGCUAACUUCGUG
rnacentral:rRNA from 1 species